GCUGGGUGCAGUGGUGCAUGCUGUAGUCCCAGCUAGUCGGGAGGCAAGGUGGGAGGAUGGCUUGAGCCCAGAAGUUCGGGGCCGUAAUGCGCUGUGCCAGUCGGGUGUCUGUCCUAAGUUUAGCCCCUAUGUAGUGACCUCUCAGGAGUGCAGAACCCUCAGGUUGCCUAAGGAGGGAUGAACCUGACCAGGCUGGAAACAGAGAAGGUGAAAAUUCCCAUGCUGAUCAGUGGUGGGAUGGCGCCUGUGAACAGCCACUGCACUCCAGCCUGGACAAUACAGCAAGAACCUGUCUCU
rnacentral:SRP_RNA from 1 species